UUUAAAAAUUUUCAAUCUAUCUUCAAUUACUUCAUUUUAUUGCUUAAUACUGUUGUAAAUAAUUUUAUUGCACCAUUCUUGCACAGAGAGACGGGAGUGUUAGGGGGGAGUCGAGUAGAGAACGCGGUAGAGGGACGACAAUGUAAAAGGGGAGAAGUUGAGAUCAUGAAACGUAUAGACAAAGUAUCUUUGCCGCGCAACCUUGGCGCCGCCUUGUGGCUUAUUUCUUAAAUAGUGAGUCAUCUGAAACCUUGAAUACCAUAUGUUAUAUAUUUAAUUGCAAGUGAAUUAAUAAUUUAACAAAAUGGAUAAAAAAGUAUCGAGUCGUGCUUGUUGCGUUGUCGACUGUAAAAACACUCAACGUAAAAAUCCAGAACUGCAAUUUCACCGUUUUCCUGGAUAUCCUCACGAAUUGGAAAGAAAAAAGAAGUGGAUUGUAGCAGUACGUCGACAAAUGAGUGAUGGAAAACCGUGGCAGCCUGGAAAAAAUUCUAGAAUUUGCAGUGCACAUUUUGUUGGGGGAGAAAAAUCUAACAAUCCACUCAAAGAAUCUUAUCACCCAACUAUAUUUCCUCCAAUAUACGGAAAAAAAAGAAAUUCUAAUGCAGGUUUCCGAGCUGAGAGAUUGCGAAAACGACGGGAAAGAAUUUCAUCUUCAAUAGUUAAUACAGCUCCAACAGAUGCUGCAGUUGAUGAUACAAUUGCUGCUGAGAAACAUGAUAUUGGCAUACAAACUGAUCCCGAUUUUGAAUUAAAUAAUGAUUGCAAUGACAUUAACAUUAUGUUCUGUUGGAGUAAUUAUAACGAAACAGCAACACAAACAAAUAUUUUUGUUCAUUCUGGACUGAAUAACAAUAGCAAAAUUGUAAAUCCACAAAAAUCACGUAUAAUUUUUUAAUAAAUAAACAUUAUUAAUACAAACAUGGAUUACGUAUUCAACACAGAAAGUAGGUAAUCAAAAAAUAUUUGAAGAAAAAAUUUUCAAUUUUUGGUAUCACUUCACUCAAAAAUUGUUCAUCUCUUUGAAUAAUAAUGUGCACAUGAUCUUCUAAUGAAUAAACAAAGAAAUGAUAAGAAUUCAAACCAAAUAUAUAUAAGGAAACUUGUACUUGAGUAAAAUAUUUAUCAACUCU